UCUGCCCCCAGCCACCCCUCAGGACAGUUUGACCAUUGGUCAGAGCUGGUGUCAACAGUACCCUCCCUCAACAGACCAUCCCUUUGGCCGGCUGGCCUAGAGUACUGUGGGUGUGUGUGUAGGGGGUGAAGUAGGACAUGGAUCUGGUGUCCAAGGACAGAGGAGGCAGAGCCUGUGGGGGAAGGGGACAGGAGCUACACAGGCCAGAGUGCUUGGACUUUGGACCCCUGAAGCUACUGAGAAGGACAGUCACUGGCCCCUGGGUAGGCAGGUGUCAGACUUGUCACAUGGAGGUGGUAAGGCUGGACUGGACUGAUGGUAAGCAGCAGGUCUGCUUGGAGGAGGAAUCCCUGCCUGCCCCGCCCCCCUCUUGAAACUGGGAGGGAGGGCUGUUUGCUGAGCCCAGACCCACCAGCACAAGUCAUAUGGGAAUAGAUCUCCUUCACGUCACGUCGCAUGUUGAGCUCGAGGAACUGCACCUUGAUGUAGUUGCCCGCGUCCUCGUACGUGUUGGGCCCUGGCGGGGAAAGAGGGGUGCUCCCAUUCGGGGGUCCCAGGUCCUUCCCAUGGCGAGAGAAGCGCAGGCCCAGAUAACGGGUGUGGGGCGCCGCCUGGCGGCCAGGCCGCGGCGGGGGGGGGGGGCGGUUCUCACCGUCGUAAUCGGGGAAGCAGAUGCUGAGAUGCGCCUUUUUUAUCUUCUCGGAGAAAACGUCCUUCUUAUUGAGGAAGAGCACAAUGGACGUGGUGGCGAAGUAGCGGUGGUUGCAGAUGCUGUUGAACAGGACUGUCUCCGGCUUCCCCCUUAAGCACUCAGGCCCUCCUUGGCACCCACCACUUCGUCGUCCUCCACCAGCACCAUGUCGUAGGCGCUCAGCGCCGCGAUGAAGAUGAUGCAGGUCACACCCUCGAAGCAGUGGAUCCACUUCUUGCGCUCUGAGCGCUGCCCGCCCACAUCGAACAUCCUGGGGGGGGCAGUUGAGGCCUGAACCCGCGCAGGGAGCCCCCUGGACGCCCCACAAGCAUCCCCUUGCCUCCUAAUGCUGGCUGGGACGGGGGGGAACCCUCAGAGGGGCCUGCCCUGAGAAGGGCCCGGGCCUUUCUCCCGGCGGGUAUCAGAGAAGGGGCAGGGGCCCCUAGGGAGGGGCCUCCGGGUCUGCUGGGGCCUCGGGGCGCCGCCCCAGCAGCCAGGCCGCGGAGGAAGGGCGAGGGCGAGGGCGGGCGCGGGUCGUACCGGAAGUUGAGGUCCUUGAAGGAAAACUGGGUCUCAAUGAUGCCCGUGGUCUUGACACGCGAGCGCAGCACGUCCUGCUCAGUGGGCACGUAGCCCGGGAUGACCAGGCGCUCCAGGUCCGAGAGGUAGCUGCGGGGGACCGCGGGGUGUGGGUGGGUGGGGUGGAGCGGCGCCUGGGACCCCGCCUGGGACCCCCGCACCCGCGCGCCCCCCGCGCUCUCACUAGCCCGCGGAGUCGUUGAGCUGGUACUCAGAGGCGCGUUCGAAACAGGCCUGGAUACCCGAGUCCUUCCACAGCCGCUGGAUGAUGUCCGACAUCUCCUUGGGCAUCGUGCCCUCUUCGAUGGUGUCUGCCAUGUGCAUCAGCUUCCGGGCAUCAUCCUGAGGGCAGGGUGGGAAUUGGUGGCGACCGUGGCCCUGAGCCGGGUCUCGCGCCUCGAGUCCCCAGAGGCCCUGCUCAGUCGGCCUCCCUGCACACCUGGCGGGCAGAGUCUCCGUACUGGAUGUUGAGCGUGGUCAUGGCGCGCACGAUGGCGAGGAUGGACUGCAGCGUGUUGCCGUAGAUGAUGGCAAUGAACUCGAGGCACUCUUCCAGCGAGUACCCAUCCUGGUGGAUAAUCCUGCGGCCAGGGUGAGCCGGUCAGGGCCAGGGGACUGGUGGGGAAGGACAGGCCCGGAGCGCGUCCGUCCCCACCCUCAGGGACCUCAGAAAGGGCAAAGGCACUCACUUCAUCUGCUUGACGAUGGUGC